GAGCCGCAGACCGCCCGUCCGCCACCCGCCACCUGCACCGCAGGCAGCUGCGGCCAGUGGGCGCCAGGUGGGACCACACCUGCAGGGCAGGGCGCCCGCGCUUCCUGUGCUCCAGGCGCUGCUGAGCCUCUGCGUUCUCCGGGACCACUGCGUGACAGACGUCUUGUAAAUAAUUCUGGGAUAAGAUACAGCAGAGUGAACACCAGCCACAUCUUCAUCUUGACACUGACAAUGAGAAUCUUCUGAUUCAUCCCUUUGCUGCUCAGACUGAGAACACUUAUAAGAAUGGGAGAUAAAAGAAGGGCUUAGUCCCAAAGCCCUCAAAAUGUUUGGAUUUCGUUAAGAAAGACAAAAAGGACAUCCAUUAAAGACUGUUAUGGACUAUAUUCAAACUGCUCAUAUUUUUCCUCCAUUCCAGUAAAGGUUUCUCUCCAAAAAAUUUGCUCCCAAGGAAGAAUAAAAGAAUGAACGAUAUUUUAUUGUUUCUCAUAGAUGUUGGCAAUGCUUCACUCCUACAUGUCUGGGGCUGUUUUCAUCUUGCCAAGUACUUUGAUAUUUGUGAAUGUGGCUACAUGGCUUGGAACAAAAGCAGUGAUAACUCAUACUAAUUAUUCAACUUGUGUUUUAAUGUUUGACAAGAGAGAAAAGAACUUUUUCUUCCUUGAUUCUGGUUGUAAAAAUUAAGAAGCCUGAGAGGAAGUGGAAGAUCUAUGUUCUUAAAAACAAAAAGUCUUCAACUCACAGAUUUCUUGGACCUAAACCAGCGAGAGCUUCCUGCUAAUAGGGGGUCUCACCUCUGCUGAUUUCCAGGCUCUGCAAAGCAGCUCUGAUUGGUCUGUCGAGUGAGUCCUACCACACCCAAUCCUCUCCACUUUUGGGCAUUGACAAUUAGGCUGAAUUAGAAAGAAAAUUAUCUUCCCCCCACCCAUGUUCUUCUUUUGCACUCAAGAUGAAACUCCAACAUAUUAGACAUUCUCAUAAGUCAGCAUUCCCCUUGCUGUGUUCCAACAGAAACAAUCUAAAUUGGAGUCAAGGAAUGUGACAUGAAACAUCUGGAAGCUCAAACAGACAAAAUGUGAUGUGCUAGGAUACACAUGGAAUAUAAUGAAAUGAUCUGGACUACAGAAUUGAACAAUGAGACUGGCGUAAGGCUGGGAAUUAAAUAGCUAAGGUGCUUAUUCUUUAUUGGAUGUAUAUGUCCUUCUGAAGUGGAUCUGACCUAUCAAGUCAGUACAUGCUCUUCAGUUUGCACCUUGAAGGUUGACGUGUCUUUUGAAAUUGUAAAGAAAGGCUUAGGGAAAAAGCAACCAGUGUGAUGAAACCAUCUAGAUGAACAGCAAAGAUCGUAGAAGAUGUCAGAACUCUUCAGGAAUCACUCUUUCUCUGCAAGUUCAGCUUCUCUGCCAAACUGAUCACAUUCAGCGGGAUAUUUAUCAUUUUCUCACUUUCAUACCAGAUUUUACAGAGGUCCAGAAUGAUGAUUUUCCCUGUUUUGUGAAGAAUUUGGAUGUCUAGGUUUGGUCUUGGAAAGACUCAGACAUUAGCAUGAGACCUGUCUUUCCUCUUGCCUGUGAGGUUAAACCUGUUCUAGGGGCUGGAGAGAUGGCUCAGUGGUAAAAGCAUUUACCUGGCUUGUGUGAGGUCCUACGUUCAAAUUUCAGCAAUGCAAAAGCCAAACAAAAAGCACACUUCCCUGUCAGAACAUAAACCCCAUAUUUAAAGUAUUUAAAUUUAUUAAAUUUAAAGUAUUUCUUCACUCAUUUUUUUUCAGAAGCGAAGUUUAACUUGGUGACCUACAGUUGAUAUUUGGUUUUAUUUUGACGUUCCCAUGACUUUGUGCCAAAAUUCAGAAUAUAGCACCACAGCACCCUCAAAAGAAUUAUAUGAAACCCAAAGAUAUAAUGAGCAAUAUAGAAUACUCCUCCUUAAAUCCUGCCUUUCACAGAAAUGCAGACUAUAUCAUACUACAACAUAAACCCCUGUCAUUAACGCCAUCCACUACAGCAUUCCGAUGGCAAUAUUAACAAAUGUGUUUGCUGGCAUUUAGCUUGUAUGCUCUCAAACUUAGGUAUUUUUAAUGGGAUAAUAUCUUUUUUUUUUUUUUUGCUCUAGAAUUAGUUUCCCUCCCUUAGUCAGAUUUCAAAAACAGUUUUAAAUAUGAAUCUUCGAAUUGUAUUAAAAAAUCUCAAUUAUAUUAACUUCUUCAUUUUUACCAACUUCAAAGCCAUUCGACAUGGCAUACAAAGAGGAAAAGUACUUGAAGAUGCAUGGAGAUUCAUGAUUUCUUUUUAUGUGGCUUAUUCAGAAAUAAUGAAAUUUAAAAGAAAAAAGAAUAAUUGUAAAAUUGAAGAAAAAUAUUAAUAACCACAUCCAUGAUUAAUUUCAUGCUUUCCAAAUUCAGUUCUAGAGGGAAAGAAAUGUCACUGGAAUUUGCUAAGUGUCAGGCAUCCAUUUAAUCUCUACAAUUAAGUUAAUACCUGUGAGGCACAAACAAGGCAGCUCAGAGCUGGUGAGCCAGGAACUAGGUCUUUUUCUGGUGAAAGACAAAACUCUCCAGUUUCACACAGCUGCUUCAAGAGUUGGCUACACAUGCCAAGACCAGGCAGCAAUCUUGACCACUCUGCAUCUUUUUGAAGGACUCCUCAAGCACCUUAUGCGUCUCCUGUGGGGACAGACCUGUUCAGAAACAAGGAUCCCUGACAAUCUUCCCAGUCACCUAAAUACUGAUUUAGGACGUCCAAGACAAGCCUGAGGGCUCUGCAUUCCUGAGGAGUUCAGAGCAGGCCCCCCACCUUCAGCAGCAAGGACUCCGUGAAGAUCAAUGAGCUGAGGUGAUGUGAAAGACACUUAGAAUAAGGGUCCCAGAGCACUGACCUCUACCAAAAUUAAAGUUGGCGUCUCCAGAAAAAUUCCUUCAGUAAAUUGUGAAACCAUUUGCAAAAUGUUGCAGGGACUGGUGUACCCUUCUGUUUGCCUUUUCUUUCCUCAGCAUCUGCUUUGGAGGGGUCUCUGCCCGGACAUAGGGCCACUGAAGCCCACAGCUGUUUUGUUUGGACAGGCUCGUCUUGAAGUUUGAGCUUGCACACAAAGGGCUUAUCACCAACACCAGCCCUUGUGUGACAGCUGUUUUCUUUCCCAGCCCCAAGGCUCUGGUCGAAGGAAGGGGGAAAGGUUUGCUUAGAAAUAAGCAGGGGUAUCAGCAAGCUGUGGUAGAUGCUUGGCUUAAAGACCUAAGGAGCCCCUCAUAUCCCCAAUUUGAUCCAUGAGCCAGAAUAUGUAUAGAAUAGUUGGAUGAAUCUAUUUGUUUUGACCUGAACUCUGGCAUAGAUGCAGAGACUAAAUUAUGUGCUAUGAUAAAACAAGGAAUUUCUAUCAAUUGCAAGGACUGAUUUCACAUCCUGCUGAAAAGUCUGCUCAUGAAGGUAUGUGUGGGUGAGGGAACAACAUAUAUCUCCCCAGUGUGAGGUUGGCCGUAUGAAAUCAGUGUCAGGUAUACAAGUGCCACAUCUUGGAGACCUGAUAAAAAUCAGGUCGUUGUCAGUAGUGAGAGGAAGAGGCACCUUCAGCGACUUCCUUUGGGGAAGAUGCGUCUUGUGCUGGUGGACUGCGCCCCCUGGUGGAUGCAGCGUUGCCAUGUUUGCAAAUCCAUUCGGUAGAGAGCUGCGUGCUCCAUAGAGACCUGUGAUUUCCGGUAUAAAGACAGAGCCUCCAGGAAAAAAGCUGACUUCUAGAUACCCAAGAUAUCCUGAACACCCAGGUCGGCCUCUGGAUAAUUCUGAGUGUGUUCCCUCUGCCAGUUGCAGGGUCUGGCUUCCCGCAUGGUGUCCUGGUAGCAUGCUUCCUCCUGUAAGAAGAUUGUGUUGACCGUGCAUUGAUUUGAGAGGCAUGGAAAAUGUUUAAAGUCUGUAUUUUAUUUUAUUUUCCUUUCAAGAUAAUUCUGGAUAUUUUCAAGGAGGACAUGACCCACUGAGAAAGAACAUUUUGUUGUGAAAUCAUUUAUUCCUCCUACUUCCUGUUCACUUUGGACUCCUCUCUCUGUGGUGGGCAUGUACAUUGUGGAUCAGUUACACUUAGGUUUCUUGUUCCACAAAUCUGCUCUCAAGAUAAAGAUAAUUUUUAUGGUUUUCUGAGAGAAAAUCUUCCUUGUUAUACAUUCGAGCACGAAUGUAAAUUAUUUGUGUUGUUGUUUUCGCUAGAGAUAUUUUCUGUGUGACCUGCCAUCCACCGAGAUGGAGAUUUUGCAGGUCAGGGAGAGAUGAAAAUCUACGGCAACUCUCCCGUUCUUUUGAAAAUUCUGUGAUGAGUCACACUGCAGCCUCAGUCCAAACAGUUUAUACACUAAAUAAGAAGGUAUUUUAAAUAUUUAUUUAACAAGACAUAUUUUAAAUAACCUACAUAUGUAAAUAGAGCGUUCUUAGCCUGUACAUUAUUGCCAGGUUGAUUCUCAUGUUCUGAUAUAUAAUUAAUUGCCAGUUUAUUCCUCUGUAAACCCAAGCGGGGAAUAAUUCAAAGAUGCCAGGUCACUGGUGUCAGCAAAAUUGUAAUACCCUCUUGUUAGUGAAGUUGGUGAAAGAGAAAUUGAGACUGUAAAAUCUGCAGUGGUGGGUGCCAAAUUUCAUCCAAAAGACGUUUUGAUCCACAGUUUACUUGCUUUCUCUAGAUGACUUAGAUGUUCUUUUUUUGUGCUAAGUGAGCUCUGAAUACACAUUUUAUAGGUUUAAAACCAACUCAGAAACCACACACACUGUGACCUGUGCAUUUUACAAGACAGUCAUCAAAAGUAGAUAUUAUCUUCGCAGUUUUAAGCAUAACUAUUACAUAUAGAAAAGCUAAUAGUAUUUCACAAAUACUUUUUAAUUCUCGUCAUUAAAAAUAUUACUAUUUUAAUGCUUAAGUAAAACCCAAGCAUUGCUUUUCAAUUUUUUUCAGAGGAAAACAGGGAUAUAGAUAUAUAUUCUUUUGGACAUAAGUUUUUAAAAUGUUUCUGAUGAAAAUUUCUAAAGGGCAGUAGAUUUCAAAGUUUUUAUGAGUAUAAAAAUUCUAAGGAAAAGUAGGAAAUGAAAAAUAUGGCAUCUCUCUGUCAUAAUUUUUUAUGAUAUGAAAUAAGUGCACUGGGAAUCUGAUUCAGUGAUACUAAAAGUACGUUUUGUUUAAAUAUAAUGCCCAUGAUUUACUAAUAAAGCAGCUCAAAGUUUUAAUUCCCAUUUCUGUGAAUCAGCUCAUCAAUUAAAUUCUAGCCAGUGAAUUAUGAUAUUAAUUACCUUGGUUAAUGACCAAAAUAUUUGGAAAAUUUAAUGUGAAAAAUCUUUUGAAAUAAUUCAUGCAUAUCACCACUAUUCACUAAUCCAUUGAUUAACUAACCUUUUCAAUGUUAUCCAAUUGUUUUGCACACUUUUGACAAAUUGUGUAUUCAAUCCGUGAUGAACUGUUUUGCUAUUCUACAUUAUGAAGAACAAUUACGCUUUUGAGGAAUAGGCAAAGGCAACAACAAAUGAAAAAAUAGUUGGCUUUUAUGGUCACCAGAAGCAUCCUUAGAUACAGAGUCCAUCUCUGCAUUGAUGGUAUUACUUCAAUGCAAUGACCCUAUCUUGACUGCGUCAGUUUCAGUAUCUGAUUUAUUUUGCAAUAGUUUUACAAGUUGUUAGCACUGAGAGAAACAAGUGAAGGAUUAGUCUACCUUAUCUCUUACAAUGUGAUAGAAAUUGACAAUUAUGUCAAAACAAAUUUUAAUUAAAAUAAAGUUCUGCAAGGUUUGUACCUAAUGGAUUUAUUACUCGACAUAGAAUCAGAGAAUUUUGACAGUGUCGCUUGAAUCUUAUGCAACAUUGGACAAACAUUCAGAGACUUUAAAUCUGCUUCCUUGCCAGUAAAAUGAACAUGGAAGUAUCUAUUUAUUUCUCUGGUUUACUCAGAGCAAAAUGAAAAUGAUCUUGAAUGUUCUUCUUAACUCCUUAAGUACCAGAGGAAUAAAACUUUGGUAAACAUUAUAUGCAAGUCUCUAAACUAAACUGUGAAUCUCUUUUAUAUAUAGAUUGCCUGCUUUUAUGUGAACUUGAAUGAUAACAGCAUUUGAUAUUUAAAGAAAAAUUAAGGAGAAAUUUACAUCUUCAUCAGUUCUUUCUCAGGCAUUCAAGAAUUCCCAAACUCAAGUCUCAAGGUCCCCAAUAACUCUUAUCAAAAUACUCUGAAAUUUCAAAUAGCUUUUCUCUCUCCUUUCUUUCAAAAUGCUAACACAUCUCAAGCUUUAUCUUUCUUUCUAGGUUACCUUUUUCAUUGCUAAGACAAAAAAAAAAUGCCCAAAGUUAAGGGAGGAAAUGAUUAUUUCAGGUCACAAUUUGAGGAGGUUUCUGUUCACAGUUGGCUGGCUCCAAGGUAGGGUAGCAUGCGGAGGAGAAAUGGUUCAUGGUGGGCAGAAGGCAGCCAGUAGGAAGGAGGCAGUAAGCAGCCCAGCAGCCCUCUUUUGUGUCUCUUAAAGACUACUCAAGCUAGCCCACCUUGGGGCAAGUAGCACUCACAUCCAGGGUGGGGCACCCUUAAUUGUAGCAUCACACCAUGAAUCAACACCCGCAUCACAUCUUUAUUACAAGCAUCAUGCCUUAAUCCCUGCAUCACACGCUCUAGAUGCAUUCACCUCUGAAAAGGCCCUACCUCUGAUCACAUGAGGUUUUGCGGGGCAUCUAGGCACAAACCAUAGCAUUUCCUUUCUUUGCUGCACUGCAUCACUGUCCAGUUUUGUUUCUGUGCAGUUCUUUUUUGGCAUCAAUUUCCUGUUUAAUGGAGGGAGAAUCUAUACACAGGCCUUGCUCCACUUCCCUCUUGUGUGGUUUUCUCCUAAUACUGUGUCCCUAAGAUCGGGAGGAUAAAAGAUUUUGCAUCUGAUACAGGAAAGACUAUUUAUAACCCUUCUAACAUAUAAACACAAUGGUACUUCAGUUCAUGAACCUGAUUCUUUCCGUGAUUCUGGUUGCAAACCAACUUGGAUGAGAAACAAAUCAAAUUUCCCCAUAAAGUUAACAUUGAAUCUAACCACUGGGUUUGAUUCAGUUCUUGUGCUGUUAGGUUUGUGAUCAGAAUCAUAGAAAACUUAUGUUUGUGAACCAAGGUGCCACUGUAUAUAUUUUACAUUAAUAUAUGCAUACUUUAGUAAUCAUUUCUAUAAAUGUAUAAGAUAUCAUUUAUUGUCACCAUUUUACAAUUGAUGAAAUGUUAGUAAGUAAUCUACUGAGUAUAUACACAUCUAUGAAUUUAGGAUAAUUAGGAAAUAUUUAAUUAUCAGUGGAAUGGAUACUCUCACCUCCCAUUUUGUGGUACUAGAGAUCAAAUCCAGGGGUGGUUUACUACUCAGCUAUAUCCCCAGAUCCAUCUAUCUAUCUAUCUAUCUAUCUGUCUAUUUUCCUUCCUUCCUUCCUUCCUUCCUUCCUUCCUUCCUUCCUUCCUUCCCUCCUUCCUUCCUUCCUUCCUUCCUUCCUUCCUUCCUUCCUUCCCUCCUUCUUUCCUCUUUCUUUCUUUCUUUCUUUCUUUCUUUCUUUCUUUCUUUCUUUCUUCUCUUUCUUGCUUCCUUUCAUUCUGAGGCAAGUUCUUGCAGUAUUGCCCAGUUGAGACUCAAAUGUGCAACUCUCCAGCCUGGAAUGAUUUCCAUUUUAUGUGGAAUUUUUCUGUUGUCAGAAAUUUGGCAUCAAACAUCAAUACUAAAAAUCUAUUUUUAUUUAUUUAUCUUUAAUUGUGCAUUGGUUCAUUUUACCACUCAUUAACAACAGCCUAAAAUACUAAAACUAUUUGCAAGAAUAAUUUCUAGACCUCAUGAAUGUGAAAUAAAUUUUAAAUAGUCCAGAGUGAUAACACUUGCAAACAGUAAUUAUGCAAAUGUGGUUGACAGGACAGCCACAUAUGAAGGUAUCAUAAAAUCCAGAGAGUGGAGCGCUUAACUGUGGAGCCAUCAGUGUGUUUGGAGAAAGCAACAAACUCAGAUGGUUGUAGGGGCCAGACAACCUCAUUUCAGAGUAUAAGGAACUUUUUUCCCAACCUCAAAUGUGAUUAAAAAAAAAAGCAACAUGUUCUUUCGCUUCUUCUGUUCACUUAUUCAUUCUAGAGUUGAGAAAGGUUUUGCAGAACAGUGAUAAUAACCUUUGCAGUCCAACUUCAGCCUGUAGCUCACCUCUGACCUCUGUUAUCAUCUCCCAUAAAGCCUUCUGAACAGAGAACCACUUAUUUCUCCUCAUUCUGUGUGACCUGGCUCUUGGUUAGUCCCCUCCCUCCUCUUUUGUCUCCUAUAGUCUUUUAUGCACUCAGAAAUCAGAGGGAUGCUGAUUUUUUCAGUAGGAUCACAUAUCUUCUGCUCUCCGUAAACCAGGGUUGAAGCAAAAGCCUCUGGUUUGUUUUAGAAUAUUUUCAAGAAUGUUUUGUUUGUAUGUUUGUUUUUAUGUUAGUGGCUGAACACUAUUCUGGAUACAUUCUGUGUCUCUGAAAUCUGGGAGCUCUAAGGUGAUUCCAAAGUUGUGGACAUCCUCACAGUUUUGCUGGCUUCAGUCCACCCCUUUGUUAACUUUGCCAGAGAACUUUGGUGACGCUGUUCUCACAGGUCACAGCUGCUUCUGUUCUCACUCCUCUCACUCUGUGCACAGUGCGCUUUCCUGGCCACACCCAUAUUUGCCAGCUGCCCAUGCUUGUAUUUCCCACUGGAGGAUGCCCUAGACGUCACUGUUGCUUAUUUCUUCACGCUUAUUGUCCAUAAAGGUAUGUGACACCAAGGAGACAUUAAAACAUCUAAAAACAAAUGAGUGGACCAUGGGACUAUGAAACAGAGUUUUUGAAAAAAAAAAAAAAUAAAGCCCUAACAUAUUUUUUAAGAUGAGAAACAUUAAACAUUUUAAGCAGUAGACUUCAUCAACCAGUUUAAUAGUUUUAAAAAUCUCAUUCUUGCUGAAUUUAGGGAGUUCUGUUACUUCAAAUUUUAGUUACAGGAAUUCCAACUAAAAAUACCCGUAAGUGUAUUUGUGUCAUUCCAAUGAGUAAAGUUAUAAUACAUUUCAACACCUCAGUAUGGAAAGAAGUGGAAGCUGAGCAUCAUGUGGGUUUGUUUUGUCUUAUUUAGAAACAACCAACUACAAAGAGUGAAAGGUCACUUAUAUCCAGGCUGUUAUAACUCGCUGCUUCUCUCUCGCAAAGCAAAGAAUGAAAUCUCACCUUUGCCUUUGAAAUUCUCUCUCCAUCCUAAUUAAAUAAAUACAAGUUACAGUGGGCUUAAAAAAUACAAUGGUCAAACAUUUCUAGAAACCAUCAUAGAUUGCUGCAGUCAAUGUGUCCCCUUUCCGUUCUAGUGCCUGAACCCCUAUAUGUGACCUGGAGUCACUUUAUUUAUAACCUAUCUCAUGAACCACCCUGCACAUUUAUUUUUCCCACCUCAAAGAGUACUGCGUAAUGUUGGCUCUAAAUUUCUUCUAAUUACCAUUUAUGUUCUAUUGUCCUGUAAUCUGCUCAAAGCUAAAAAUAGAACUAAGGUCUGAUCUCAACACAACCCAAGUGAUUAAUUUUAUUAUUAUUUUUUGUCCAGUGGAACAAACCCACCAUAAAUAACAAAAGCGGUAUAUGUGAAAGAAACCCUGAAAUAGACCUUUUCCUUUUCUCUUUAUACACUUGCUAACCCUAUAUUAAGUAGAGUCUCCCUCCAUUCAUUCUUCCAGCCCGAUACUACUUUGCUUAAAGAAGUAAAUCUAAUUAAAGGAUCACAGGAAAUGGAAGCUGUUUUGCAAGUUGAGGAAGCUGCCUCUGUGUAUCCUUCACCACUGAUUGGGCUCACAAGAUGGAAAAUUUCGUAGGCUGCUAGGCAAAGUGCUCUCAAUAUUGCCAGAACAUCUGCUUUUCUAUGUGUAAAAACCCUUUCAUGCAGUGAACGAAAAUUUUUAUUCUAAUUGAAUUUGUAGUUAAUUCCAGAUAAAGCAGAGAUUCCUUUUUGCUGAUGCUGCUUAAAUCAAGUACCCCAAACCCACUGCUCAGAGCCUUUUUACCCAAAAUUAAUCAAAAGAAAUGGUGGGUGGUUUGUGUCCAGUGUGCCUCUAUUUACUUCUAUUUUUAAGAUAGAAGGGUAAUUUCAGAGCUACUUGAAACCCUGUUUGACAGAGCUUAAGAGCCAACCCUCUCAGUUUCCAAAAUGCAGUGUUUCUAACCCAGUAGGCAGGGGUGGAAUCAGUCUUUAAAUGUGGCUUACUAAUCCCUUUACCCAGUUUGUCUGCUGUUAGCUGAUCAUAACAAAGGUAUGUACGAUCCUGAAUAAUUUCAAGGCUCUGAAAGAGUUAAAUCUACUGUUUGCUGCAAAAUUUGCUAAGAACAUUAGUAAGUAGAAAACCCACAGAAAGAAUGUAGUAUAAACUAAACAGACUCCAAAUGCUUUUGACAUUGCAUCUACCUGAUAGAUUUCUGUCUAUGAUAAUGGCCGUAUCAGUGAGGUUUCCCAUUGCUGGGAGUAAAUACACAACAUCGACAAUUUAAUGCAGGAAAGGUUUAGUUAGGCUCUCGGUUUAUGGACAUUCUGUUCAUGGAUAGGCAUAACAGAGGAAUGCUUUUCAACUUGUGGCACCCAGGAAAGAGGAAGUAAAGAUAUAAACACCUUCUAAACACAUGCCCUAGUGACUUUCCUCUUCCAACCAUGCCCCACCUCCUCACAGCACAAUAGCUUUGAACUCAUCAGUGAUUCAAUCUGCUAAUGAGUACACCAGACUCAUGACCCAAUCAUCUUCUGAAAGCACCAACUCUGUUCAAAUGGGACUCUUAGGGAAUGUUCUAGAUAUAACUCAGAACAGUGAACUUGUGGAAAUUGCUGUCUGCAUGAGUUCCUACAUUGAUGCUGUAAAGUAAGAGAAUUCCAUUAAGUUGCAAUGUAUUUCUUUUUAAGUCAACCCUCACAAGUGAAUGAACUCUUCUCUCCUGUCCCUGACACUAAAUUUUCUUAAGAGACUAUAAAAUACAGUUAGCAUUGGAACACCAGGACUCUAAGUCACAAUAGGAAAUAAAUUUACAACUUACCAGGUAGUAAGGAUCUCUUUCUCUUUCUCUCUGUCUCCUUUCAGGAUCACUUAUUCUAGGAACUGCUCAAUUUUCUCGAGGCCAUGGACCACAGAAAAGAGCCAAAGAUGUCAAUCAGAAGCCAUGAGUGAAAGAUCUUUAUCUUGGCAUUUUCAAAGUUACAAGCACUGAAUACCUCCUUCUAAUAACUUACCAUUUCUAAUUAUAUUUCACUAUUAGAGAUCUGUCAUGGUUUUUCUAGAUGAGUUAGUUGUCUGUUUCCCAAACCCCUUAAUAUCUGAAGUAUCUCAUUAUCAUUGAACUUUUAUAUGACUUUAAUUUAUUAAUUUAUUUUUAUUUUAAAGAGAAUAAAACAAAACAAACAAAAUAAAGCAAAGCAGAGUGAAACAAAGCAAAUAACACAGGAUUUCAGAAAAAGACAGCAGGAAAUCAACAGUGGCUGCCACCAUGUCUCUUGUUUUCUUCAAAACAGCUGUCCAUACCUUCAUAUAUAUUGAAAUCAAAGAAUUGAAAACAGACUAAAACCAAUCAAAACCAAGAAUAGAAACAUUAUUGAGAUUCAAAACAAAAUGACAGGAGGUCAUCAAUGGCUACCAUGAUGUCUUGUUUUCUUCAGUGUAGUUGUUCAUAUUAUCACACAUAAUAAUACCAAUUAUUUACACAUUAUGGUGUAAUUUUAGGCAUGCAUAAACCUAUAACUGUACAUCUAUCCUUUCUGUACUAGAGGGAAAAAACAACAAAUAAAUACUAUAUCAUUGUACUUUUAAAAAUUUAUCAUGGCUUGUCUGUCUGUCUCUCCAGAUGUCUGGUGCUUAUCAUGCUAUUCAAAGUCAAAAUGACUGAUUUCUUAUUCCUAAAACUCAGUAGAUGAUCCAUGAAUGAUUUAAAGUUAAUGAAUUUAAACAGUUUUGUAAGAUUCCAUAGGAAAAAUGCAUUUCUACUAUUUGGCCAAAGUUAUAAUGAAAAAUGUUACCUAUGUUCAGUCAAAUUAAAUAAAGUAAAAAAAUAGAGAACUAAGGGUAAGGAUAAAUUGCUUCCACUUUUUCACUAAUAUAAGAAGUCCUGUCAUGGCUGUCCAUGGACCUAAAAUUUUGAGUGUAUCCAUUUAUACUUAUAAUGGUCAUUUCAUAGAAAUAAGUAACUAUGCCAAAGGAGGUAAAAAGCUCACUUUAUUCAUUAACAUUGCCCAUUGUAGUUUAAUAUAUUGAUAACUGAUAGAUAAGAAUUAUAUCUUUAAUUUUAUACACAUAUACACAGACAUACUUGCACAUGCUAGGGAGUCUUACUGAUUAUAAUUCUUCUUUUCAUCCAUAGCUGCAAACUCUGUAGUAUAAUUUUAUAGCAAACUUUUAUAAAAUCUGGAGUAGCUUUCCCUACCCUUAACUGAGGUUGGUUAGUGGUGUGGCUUAGUUUGGGUAAUUCAAGUUAGACAAGUGAUACCACAUCGAUUUGAAAUAAGAUUGUGUGAGUUGUCAGUCCUUGUAGAUGUCACCCACACAAUCACCAUCUAGAAGGAGUCAUCUCAUUUGCAUUUAUCUUUUGAUGAUGAAUCAGAGUUACAAAGAAGUUAAAAAUUAUACCCAGGGGCCUGGUGUAAAUGAUUGAAUUGGGAUUCAAACCCAAGUUUUUUGAAUACCUAAAAGUUACAUAUUAAGAAUAAUUAUAUGUUCUCUUAUUAGGAAAACAAAGAUCUGCAUUCAUUCUGCUCAUUAUUGCAUUAUAUUACUUUUUUGAGACACAUAUAUUGAUAAUUACUUAUACUUACUGACAAACUUGAUCAAAAUACCAAACAAUCUAAAAUAUUGUCAUCACAUUCAAGCAGGACAAUCCUAUGUGAGUAAGUUGGUUGGGGAAUGCCUGCCUCAAGUCUUUGUUUUUUUGUUUGUUUUUUGAGUUGCUCAACCACUAGGUUCUUCUUCUUUUUACUUUGUUUUAAUUGUCAUUCCUAGUAAAUGCAUUGGGUUAAUACCUUUGUUUGGAAUUACGACAGAUUCGAAAGCUAUAAAACCUGACUUGCAUAAGCAGGCUUUUGUCACACAGGAACUUGAGUACAAUUUGAUUGUUCUGUGACUGCCAUCUUGAGACGAGGGAGGAGAGAACAGAGACUUGAAAACAGAACUUCAAAAAUGAUGAGGUGUGAAAAUAGAGCUUGUGGUCACCAAAAAGAGCUGAGAGUGAGCUGGAAAACAGAAUGCGGCUUGAUGCUGAGAAGGCAGCAGAAAAGGGCAAAAACCUGCAAAAACCGAGUUACUGCACUCAGACUUCAUUUCCGAGGAGUCUGUACUGACAAGGAAAUGGGCUGGUUUUAUUUUUUUAAGUUUAUCUAUUUAUUUAUUUGUUUAUUUUUUAUCGGUACUAGGGAUUGAACUCAUGACUGUCUGCUUGCAAGGCAGGUGCUUAUGCCGCUGAGCUAAAUCCCCAGCCCCGUUUUUUUUAAGUUUAGAGUGGAGUGGGUUUCAUUGUGAGCUUUGUGCAAAUAAUAACUCCUCUGAGUCUCUAUUCCUCUCGAUGUGUUAAUAAUAAUACAUAUAUUAAGGGCUUGUAAAAAAUUCUAAUGAGAUGAUGCGUUUGACAAUACUCUUGGGCUAAUAUUUUAAACACCACUCACUAACACUUUUCCAUCUUAUUUUAGCACGUAUUUGUAAUACGUAAUAUUUGCAUUCAUUGUGGGGAGUUGUUACACGGACAUUUUUUUCGACCCCUUUCUCGUCCUGUCUCCCCCAUCUAUCUCUUGACACCCUCUUCUUUUUUGAAUAUGUACUUUGAUAAAAUCUCUAUGAAAUGUAACAAGAGAGGGUGAAUAAAAGAAAUUAUAUGUACAUGUAUACAUAAAUAUAGCAUAUAUAAUAUAGAGUACAAAAUAUUAUAAAGAGUGUAGAAGGAAAUUAUGUUAUAUAAUAUAUAUUAUAUAUUACAUCACACAUAAUAUAUAUUAUAUAUGUAAGUAAGUAUAAGCUCUUAAGCUCUUUUUAAAUUAUGUUCCAUGAGUUCACUGUCUAAAUUCUAUUUGACACUGUUGAGGACAGCAAACUCUGCUACAUUCACAUCUUCAUGGCUUAUUGCACAUGAGCCAGAUGAGCAGCAUUCAGUGGGCUUCUCCCUCUACCUGGAGGAAGCCUGCCCACGCACCUGCAGCCCUGCUGUAUAAUGGAAACAUCCCUCUCUUCCCUUUGAUGUGCUGAAUUCCUCAGAGCCUGGGGUGAUACAGGGAACUGUCUGAAGAAAAUCCCUCCUUGAAUGGAGAGCAAACUUUAAAAUAUUCACGGACUCCUUAGUUAAAGUUGGGGCAGUUACAGCAAUACCCAAAA